rnacentral:piRNA from 1 species
UGAGCACCUAUAAUUCUAGUUCUC